UACAGAGGGUGCAAGCGUUAAUCGGAAUUACUGGGCGUAAAGCGUGCGUAGACGGUUAUGUAAGUCGGGUGUGAAAGCCCCGGGCUCAACCUGGGAAUUGCAUUCGAGACUGCAUAGCUAGGGUGCGGAAGAGGGAAGCGGAAUUUCCGGUGUAGCGGUGAAAUGCGUAGAUAUCGGAAGGAACACCGGUGGCGAAAGCGGCGCGCUGGAUCCCUACUGACGCUGAGGCACGAAAGCCAGGGGAGCAAACGGG
rnacentral:rRNA from 1 species